rnacentral:rRNA from 1 species
GACGAACGCUGGCGGCGUGCUUAACACAUGCAAGUCGAACGAUGAAGCUGGAGCUUGCUCUGGCGGAUUAGUGGCGAACGGGUGAGUAACACGUGAGAAAUCUGCCCUUGACUCUGGGAUAACUGCGGGAAACUGUAGCUAAUACCGGAUACUUUCCCUGGUGGGCAUCCACUGGGGAAGAAAGAAUUUAAGUCAAGGAUGAUCUCGCGGCCUAUCAGCUUGUUGGUGAGGUAAUGGCUCACCAAGGCGACGACGGGUAGCCGGCCUGAGAGGGUGACCGACCACACUGGGACUGAGACACGGCCCAGACUCCUACGGGAGGCAGCAGUGGGGAAUAUUGCACAAUGGGCGCAAGCCUGAUGCAGCAACGCCGCGUGAGGGAUGAAGGCCUUCGGGUUGUAAACCUCUUUUAGCAGGGAAGAAGCGAAAGUGACGGUACCUGCAGAAAAAGCACCGGCUAACUACGUGCCAGCCGCCGCAGUAA